UCCUGUAACGCAAUGGAUAGCGCUUUGGACUUCCUUUUCAAAGGUCGUGGUUUCGAAUCCCACCUGGGGAU